rnacentral:rRNA from 1 species
AUUGAACGCUGGCGGAAUGCUUUACACAUGCAAGUCGAACGGCAGCACGGGGCAACCUGGUGGCGAGUGGCGAACGGGUGAGUAAUACAUCGGAACGUGCCCAAUCGUGGGGGAUAACGUAGCGAAAGUUACGCUAAUACCGCAUACGAUCUACGGAUGAAAGCGGGGGAUCGCAAGACCUCGCGCGAAUGGAGCGGCCGAUGUCAGAUUAGGUAGUUGGUGGGGUAAAGGCUCACCAAGCCGACGAUCUGUAGCUGGUCUGAGAGGACGACCAGCCACACUGGGACUGAGACACGGCCCAGACUCCUACGGGAGGCAGCAGUGGGGAAUUUUGGACAAUGGGCGCAAGCCUGAUCCAGCCAUUCCGCGUGCAGGAUGAAGGCCUUCGGGUUGUAAACUGCUUUUGUACGGAACGAAACGGUUCUCUCUACUACAGGGGGCUAAUGACGGUACCGUAAGAAUAAGCACCGGCUAACUACGUGCCAGCCGCCGCCGUAAUAC